CAAGGCCGCUAGGGGUGUUGACGCACGGAGUUCUGCUCUGCGCCGAGACUGAGAAAGUCCCUUUGAACCUGAUUGAGGUAAUCCUCGCGCAGGGAAGCAUGUCGAACAAGCC
rnacentral:ncRNA from 1 species